UACGUAGGGUGCGAGCGUUAAUCGGAAUUACUGGGCGUAAAGCGUGCGCAGGCGGUUCGUUGUGUCGGUGGUGAAAGCCCCGGGCUUAACCUGGGAAUGGCCAUGGAAACUGGCGAACUGGAGUGUGGCAGAGGGGGGUGGAAUUCCGCGUGUAGCAGUGAAAUGCGUAGAGAUGCGGAGGAACACCGAUGGCGAAGGCAGCCCCCUGGGCUGAGAUUGACGCUCAGGCACGAAAGCGUGGGGAGCAAACAGG
rnacentral:rRNA from 1 species